rnacentral:rRNA from 1 species
UUUUAUGGAGAGUUUGAUCCUGGCUCAGGAUGAACGCUGGCGGCGUGCCUAAUACAUGCAAGUCGAGCGAACAGACGAGGAGCUUGCUCCUCUGACGUUAGCGGCGGACGGGUGAGUAACACGUGGAUAACCUACCUAUAAGACUGGGAUAACUUCGGGAAACCGGAGCUAAUACCGGAUAAUAUAUUGAACCGCAUGGUUCAAUAGUGAAAGACGGUUUUGCUGUCACUUAUAGAUGGAUCCGCGCCGCAUUAGCUAGUUGGUAAGGUAACGGCUUACCAAGGCAACGAUGCGUAGCCGACCUGAGAGGGUGAUCGGCCACACUGGAACUGAGACACGGUCCAGACUCCUACGGGAGGCAGCAGUAGGGAAUCUUCCGCAAUGGGCGAAAGCCUGACGGAGCAACGCCGCGUGAGUGAUGAAGGUCUUCGGAUCGUAAAACUCUGUUAUUAGGGAAGAACAAAUGUGUAAGUAACUAUGCACGUCUUGACGGUACCUAAUCAGAAAGCCACGGCUAACUACGUGCCAGCAGCCGCGGUAAUACGUAGGUGGCAAGCGUUAUCCGGAAUUAUUGGGCGUAAAGCGCGCGUAGGCGGUUUUUUAAGUCUGAUGUGAAAGCCCACGGCUCAACCGUGGAGGGUCAUUGGAAACUGGAAAACUUGAGUGCAGAAGAGGAAAGUGGAAUUCCAUGUGUAGCGGUGAAAUGCGCAGAGAUAUGGAGGAACACCAGUGGCGAAGGCGACUUUCUGGUCUGUAACUGACGCUGAUGUGCGAAAGCGUGGGGAUCAAACAGGAUUAGAUACCCUGGUAGUCCACGCCG